GGUGCAGUGGUGGAACACUAACACUCCAGCUUGCAUUGCAAGUUUCGUUUCUUUAAGCUGGUGAUCCCCGUUCGAUUCGGGGCUGUGUCU